AUUAGCCCAGCACCGAAGCCUGUGGCCAUUUGGUCAUUAGGCAAUGUGGUGUUCAGGUCGUUCCGCAAAGGUACUGCUCCACCCUAAGUCCAUCAAUGAGUACGGUAGUACGGACAUGGCCCACAGAGGGUGAAAGGCCCGUGUGGGUGGAGAUCAGGUAGGCCAGUACCUUUCUGGAUAGACCUUGGAGUCGGGUUGUUUGGGAAUGCAGCCCAAAGUGGGUGGUAAACUCCAUCCAAGGCUAAAUACAAGCACGAGUCCGAUAGCGAACAAGUACCGUGAGGGAAAGUUGAAAAGUACUUUGAAGAGAGAGUAAACAGUGCGUGAAACCGAUCAGAGGUAAACGGGUGGAGUUGAACUGCAAGCUCUGAGGAUUCAACUGAUGAGUGUGUCUUGAGCUUUGGAUGUUGGGCCCUGAAGUCUGCUUAGCUGCAGGCCUUUGCUCUUCGGAGUGGAGGUGCGCGAGGCACUUAUCAAGUGUUGUGCGCUUUGGGUGUUCAUCAAACCACUUGUCAGUGCACUUUCUCAGAGUAGUCACCACGACCGGCACUGCUGUCUGGCUGUUAUGGUUAAACCGUUUUCGCAUUGUCCUUGUGGCUCUGCUUGAUCGGGAAGGCAGGUGGUUCAUGACUUGCUUGUGGGAAUCCUGCAGGCAUUGGGUCAUUGAGUGUAAUCAGCUGACCAUAUCAGUUCUGUGCAGUGUGUCGGAGACGGCGGCUUUUGUGUGUGCGCGCGUGCCAGUCUGGCUGACGUGUCCGGGUUUGGUUAUUAUGUUGCCUGUUUAUGCAGGCCUGGUAAUGGCUCGGAUUCGUUCAGUUGGCGGUUGCGUGCGUGACACAGCUCAUGGGCCAAUAGUCUGUGUUGUAGUGGUAGACU
rnacentral:rRNA from 1 species